rnacentral:rRNA from 1 species
GACGAACGCUGGCGGCGUGCUUAACACAUGCAAGUCGAACGGAAAGGCCCUGCUUUUGUGGGGUGCUCGAGUGGCGAACGGGUGAGUAACACGUGAGUAACCUGCCCUUGACUUUGGGAUAACUUCAGGAAACUGGGGCUAAUACCGGAUAGGAGCUCCUGCUGCAUGGUGGGGGUUGGAAAGUUUCGGCGGUUGGGGAUGGACUCGCGGCUUAUCAGCUUGUUGGUGGGGUAGUGGCUUACCAAGGCUUUGACGGGUAGCCGGCCUGAGAGGGUGACCGGCCACAUUGGGACUGAGAUACGGCCCAGACUCCUACGGGAGGCAGCAGAGGGGAAUAUUGCACAAUGGGAGGAAGCCUGAUGCAGCAACGCAGCGUGCGGGAUGACGGCCUUCGGGUUGUAAACAGCUUUCGCCUGUGACGAAGCGUGAGUGACGGUAAUGGGUAAAGAAGCACCGGCUAACUACGUG